rnacentral:tRNA from 1 species
GGAGGUAUAGCUCAGUGGUAGAGUACAUGCUUAGCAUGCAAGAGGUCCUGGGUUCAAUCCCCAGUGCCUCCU